AUUCUGCAGCUGUGUAAACAUCAGCCGCAACCUCAGCUGCUGCUGUGAGGGAAGGACAUGGAGCUGUGGGGAGCUGGGGGUUCCUCCAGCAGCUUUCCUUGUCCAGAGCUGAUCCUGUAUUUUCUGGAAGCAUUCGCUUUGACUCCAUCUGUCCUUGGAUUCGGCCUCCUGCAUGUCCCAGAGAGUCCCGCAGCCUCAGGAGAGCAAUGGUAUCAGGAAUGAGCCUUUCUCACCGCGCCGCUGGCAGAAGAGGAGUUUGAUACCUGCGGGGUAGUAACAAGCAGAACCAUUCAGAUUCUGUCCACAAAUCCACGUGGUGAACGCAGCUCAGGCCUGCAGCACAAGGCUGUUGAGCACUGAUGCGAAGGCCUGCACCAACCCUCGUCCGGCGCUGGGCCCAGCCGUUGGACUGGGGUUGUAAAAGCGGAAAAAUAAGCGUGUGUUGUGCUUAGGCUGCAGCCAUUCUGCCUAAAUUGGGGAACAUUCUGCAAAUAUUUCAAGUCCAAUACUACUGGUGCUGUCAUUGCUGCCUCACAGUCACCGGGCUGUAGCAGCCAUAGGUUGGUCUCAGUGCCUGCAGCUGGGCAGCCUCUCGUUUGGACAAGCAAGACUAUCAAAAGACUGAAAAUCGGCCACGUGAAUGUGUUCAUGGCCACUUACAGGAGUGGGGAGCUCUGCCUCCUGGCUGCAGAAGCAUUGCAAAUCUCCUCGAAAUACAACCAUCUUCUGAUCAAGUACGCAGCAGAUGUGCCACAACCUACAAGGGCAUGGAUGGAUGGACAGACAGACGGAUGGAUGGGCAGUGGCUGUACUGCCAGCCUUCUCUCAGAACAUUCUGUUUUUCUCUUGGUUCCCACACGGCACUGUGGCAGUCACAACUUCCAAACAAGACCGUGUGCAUUUCUGGCUCUCCUGUAGGACUCAUCUCAUGCAGCUUGGUGCGAUGUUCAGUGCUACUCAAGACACCAACAUUCCAGCACUGCUAUGCCCCGUGCCUGGUGUGCUCUGAAAACAGCGGCAGAAUACAAAUCAACCCACCCCAUGCACAGACGGCUGGGAUCCUUUGAGACUCUUGUUUUAUGGAUGAAAUAAAUUCAGCCAAUGGGGAAUGGAAGGCACAGUAAGUGUAAAAAAAAAAAAAAACAACCCUUCUGAAUAUUUUUUUCUCUAGUCAAUAGCUUACACAACAGACAUGUGAAGGGAGAUGCUACCUGGCUCAAUGGUGGUGGUCACAGCUUUCCUGUUAUCGGAAGAAAUGUACGGAUAGGUUCCCUCCGAGGCAAGGCCUUCCUGGAGAGCAUAAAUAAUACAUAGCAAUAGCAAUAUUGGUUUUAUUUGGAAAAAAAAGAAAAAAGAAAUGGAAUCUGCCUUGGAGACAGAGCCAGGCUGGAGGCAGCCACAGUGAAGAUGAGGGUGAUGCACCACA